GACGAACGCUGGCGGCGUGCUUAACACAUGCAAGUCGAACGGUGAAGCGCCUUCCUUUUUGGUGGGUGUGGAUGAGUGGCGAACGGGUGAGUAACACGUGAGUAACCUGCCCCCUUCUUCUGGAUAACCGCAUGAAAGUGUGGCUAAUACGGGAUAUUCUGGGUCUGUCGCAUGAUGGGUCUGGGAAAGAUAUUGUUUCGGUGGGGGAUGGGCUCGCGGCCUAUCAGCUUGUUGGUGGGGUGAUGGCCUACCAAGGCGGUGACGGGUAGCCGGCCUGAGAGGGUGGACGGCCACACUGGGGCUGAGACACGGACCAGACUCCUACGGGAGGCAGCAGUGGGGAAUAUUGCACAAUGGGCGCAAGGCUGAUGCAGCGACGCCGCGUGAGGGAUGGAGGCCGUCGGGUUGUGAACCUCUUUCGCCAGUGAAGCAGGCCUGCCUCGUUUGUGGGUGGGUUGACGGUAGCUGGAUAAGAAGCGCCGGCUAACUACGUG
rnacentral:rRNA from 1 species